UGAGCCCACAUGCUUGAGAAAAUUCUCCAAUUUGAUUUUUUUCCCCUAUCUUCAUCCGUGAUAAGUGGCUUUUUUUACUUGUUGGCACUGGACGUCUUUUUGUCACCCUGCAAAUUUCAUUGUUUAGAGUUAAGUAAGUAAACAGUUCAUCGAGAUCGAUCCUGAGAGGGACACCAAGGAUACACAAGGUUAAGUCCUCUCUAAAAGAACAGGAAACAUCGUCCAGAAAAGCUUACUUCAGUGAUCCCUCAUGUCUCCAGUCUACUAAUAACUAAUGGACUUUUAAUAGGACUUUAUAUACAUUCCUUUCCUCCCACAACAAAUAUGGAGUUCUCCGCAUCUGUCAUCCCAAACAAACAGCGAGGGUUGGGUUGCAAAGGCAUUCCUAACCACUCUGAACUCACUGGGUCAAACUGGGAAUCAAUAGAAUGACAUAGGCUGCUGUGGUUCUUGGGAAUUUCUGUGGAUUCAGAUACCAGAAAGCAUUCGUUUCCUAUGGGGUCAUAGGCCACAGUCCCUGUGUUAUUUAUCAUAAGAAUCAGGUCCAUCUCAAACAUCCCAGAUCGAGGUUUAUUGUUGAGUAUCCCUGAGUGGGACUGUCAGUCCUUACAGGGCUGCUCAGAGCACUGUGGAAAGUUCAUAGUCCAUAUGGGAUGGUCGACUGGUGGCUGCAGCUGUCUGUGACGGUCAGUCACCAUGUAAGUCACAGCUCCUGUAUUUUCCUCAUCUGGCCAUCAUUCACAUGCAAGCUUUGUGUUAACACGCACACGCACAUCCACAUACAUUUAUACUGUAACUGCUAUACAACUGUGAAUAAAAGGUGUCAUUUUAAUACCAGGAAAACUUUAUUCCAAGUCAAGCUCAACAUAAUAAAAACCUUACAAUGACAA